GUCCAAAAUACUGUGAUGAUAUCUUUUGCAAGCACAUAGCUGGUUGCUCUGUAUGGAAGAUGGCUGUUGCUGAGUGAUUUUUAGAU
ensembl:snoRNA